GCCGCUUUGGUUCUGAAGCUGAAUAUACAGCGCUCAGCACGUGAGAUAACGGGAGUUUGAUUCUCGGGGAAAGCAAUUCUUUUUAGGUUUGUUAACUCCUUUCAUAUAUUACUAAACAUUUUCUCUUCUUUUUUCUUUUUUUUAAUCUUCCCCCAUUUUUCCACUAACAUUUCAAUCUUAACUUUUCUUUUUUAGUUUAUUUUUUUCACUUUUUGAAUUUCCUAUAUCUUAUUUAUUACAACAAAAAACUUAAGUUUUUAAAAACUCCAGAGUGUAAAUAUUUGUAGUUGUCAACAUGCAAUGAUAUGAUACAAUUAUUCAAUAUCUUCAAAAUAUGAAAGUUCGUCGAGAAUCGUACUACUAGAAGCUUUUUUUUUUAAAAAAAAUAUUAAUAUUAAUCGUAGUUCGCUCGGUAACUUAUGACUAGAAGUCUUAUUUCUAAUAAUAAGUU
rnacentral:lncRNA from 1 species